rnacentral:lncRNA from 1 species
CACUCGUUUUCGGGUUUGUUGCCCGUUUGUAAAAUAUUUUAUGACGGUAUACAUAUCAAUCUACGUCUCGUCCUGCUCAGUGCGUUUUGAGGGGGUGAAUCUUUUUCCAUCUCCUGAGUCGCACCUCCCCUGGUCAGCAAAGGGUCACUGCCGCAAUGGAGUCAUCCAAACUCAGAGGAUUAAUACACAUCCAUUUAUUGAGAGCGUUCUUAACAACUGACAACAGCCCAUUGGAGGUAACAUUGCCUAAUGGGCUAAUUACAAUUCAUAAGCCUUCGAGGUAACCAGUCAUAGGAAAUGGCUGCUAUGAAGACUCAAAGAAUCGAGGAAGCCACAUCCUGGUGUCAGGUGCACAUCUUCAGUCUGAUGGGUCGUCGGAGGUGGUGGUGUUCAGUUGACGACGACAGAACAAACUUAUUUGUACGUCCAAAGUGGUGGCACUCAGCCGCCUGCCAGCACUGCCCCACAGCUGUGCCUGUGCGCCCCUGGGGG